rnacentral:rRNA from 1 species
AGUGUAGGUGGCCAGGCAAGUCAGAAGUGAAAGCCCGGGGCUCAACCCCGGGACUGCUUUUGAAGCUGCAGGGCUAGAGUGCAGGAGGGGCAAGUGGAAUUCCUAGUGUAGCGGUGAAAUGCGUAGAUAUUAGGAGGAACACCAGUGGCGAAGGCGGCUUGCUGGACUGUAACUGACACUGAGGCUCGAAAGCGUGGGAGCAAACA